rnacentral:rRNA from 1 species
UGGGGAAUAUUGGACAAUGGGCGAAAGCCUGAUCCAGCCAUGCCGCGUGUGUGAAGAAGGUCUUCGGAUUGUAAAGCACUUUAAGUUGGGAGGAAGGGCAUUAACCUAAUACGUUAGUGUUUUGACGUUACCGACAGAAUAAGCACCGGCUAACUCUGUGCCAGCAGCCGCGGUAAUACAGAGGGUGCAAGCGUUAAUCGGAAUUACUGGGCGUAAAGCGCGCGUAGGUGGUUUGUUAAGUUGGAUGUGAAAUCCCCGGGCUCAACCUGGGAACUGCAUACAAAACUGACUGACUAGAGUAUGGUAGAGGGUGGUGGAAUUUCCUGUGUAGCGGUGAAAUGCGUAGAUAUAGGAAGGAACACCAGUGGCGAAGGCGACCACCUGGACUAAUACUGACACUGAGGUGCGAAAGCGUGGGGAGCAAACA